rnacentral:piRNA from 1 species
UCAGACCCAGUUGGUUUAGUU